CACCGCCCGUCACAUCACGAAAGUGGACUGUACUAGAAGUCGGUGCGCUAACCCGCAAGGGAGGCAGCCGCCCAAGGUAUAGUUCAUGAUUGGGGUGAAGUCGUAACAAGGUACCC
rnacentral:rRNA from 1 species